UGGAAUGGAAUUUGAAGUGAGGAUCAAGGUUGCAGUUCGGUGUUGACAAGGAUGUCACGAGCUCGGAUGAGCAGGAAAAAAGUUUUGAUGUUUAAAGUAAGUUGGUAUUGUCUUCAGCAUCACCUGAGAUUGGUGUUUUAUGGAAAAGGCUAUGCAUCAUGGUUAAGGAUUCUUGAUCUCUUUUCAGCAUUAGUGCGGUUGGUGGUUUGGAUAUAAAGACCUGUUAUAUGUUACAGAAGGUUUUG
rnacentral:lncRNA from 1 species